rnacentral:rRNA from 1 species
AUUGAACGCUGGCGGAAUGCUUUACACAUGCAAGUCGAACGGCAGCACGGGUGCUUGCACCUGGUGGCGAGUGGCGAACGGGUGAGUAAUACAUCGGAACGUACCCUGACGUGGGGGAUAACGUAGCGAAAGUUACGCUAAUACCGCAUACGUCCUGAGGGAGAAAGCAGGGGAUCGUAAGACCUUGCGCGUUAGGAGCGGCCGAUGGCGGAUUAGCUAGUUGGUAGGGUAAAGGCCUACCAAGGCGACGAUCCGUAGCGGGUCUGAGAGGACGACCCGCCACACUGGGACUGAGAGACGGUCCAGACUCCUACGGGAGGCAGCAGUGGGGAAUUUUGGACAAUGGGCGAAAGCCUGAUCCAGCCAUUCCGCGUGAGUGAAGAAGGCCUUCGGGUUGUAAAGCUCUUUCGGCAGGGAAGAAACGGUUUUGGAUAAUACCCAGAACUAAUGACGGUACCUGAAGAAGAAGCACCGGCUAACUACGUGCCAGCAGCGGCCGUAA